GGAGGAUCCAAGCGUUAUCCGGAUUUAUUGGGUUUAAAGGGUGCGUAGGUGGCCUAUUAAGUCAGGGGUGAAAGACGGUAGCCUAACUAUCGCAGUGCCCUUGAUACUGAUGGGCUUGAAUGAACUAGAGGUAGGCGGAAUGUGACAAGUAGCGGUGAAAUGCAUAGAUAUGUCACAGAACACCAAUUGCGAAGGCAGCUUACUAUGGUUUUAUUGACACUGAGGCACGAAAGCGUGGGGAUCAAACAGGAUUAGAUACCCUGGUAGUCCACGCCCUAAACGAUGAAUACUCGAUGUUGGCGAUAUACGGUCAGCGUCUAAGCGAAAGCGUUAAGUAUUCCACCUGGGGAGUACGCCCGCAAGGGUG
rnacentral:rRNA from 1 species